rnacentral:tRNA from 2 species
GGCGGCGUAGCUCAGUUGGCUAGAGCACGCGGUUCAUACCCGCGGUGUCACCGGUUCGAAUCCAGUCGCCGCUACCA